rnacentral:rRNA from 1 species
AUUAAACGCUAGCGGGAUGCUUUACACAUGCAAGUCAAACGAGUGGCGGACGGGUGGGUAAUAUAUCGGAACGUGCCCCGUAGCGGGGGAUAACUACUCGAAAGAGUGGCUAAUACCGCAUACUAUUGGCGCGGCCGAUAACGGAUUAGCUAGUUGGUGUGGUAAAGGCUCCCCAAGGCAACGAUCCGUAGCUGGUUUGAGAGGACGACCAGACACACUGGGACGGAGACACGGCCCAGAAUCCUACGGGAGGCAGCAGUGGGGAAUUUUGGACAAUGGGGGAAACCCUGACCCAGCCAUCCCGCGGGUAUGAGAAGGCCGUCGGGUUGUAAAGUACUUUUGGCAGAGAAGCGGUAUCUGCAGAAUAAGCACCGGCUAACUACGUGCCAGCAGCCGCGGUAAUAC